rnacentral:rRNA from 1 species
AAGCACGAAACUUGCCCCGAGAUGAGUUCUCCCUGACCCUUUAAGGGUCCUGAAGGAACGUUGAAGACGACGACGUUGAUAGGCCGGGUGUGUAAGCGCAGCGAUGCGUUGAGCUAACCGGUACUAAUGAACCGUGAGGCUUAACCUU